GCCAAAGAGCGCCAGGACAUGGUAAAGAAUGUGGACAAUGAUUAUGCAGCAAGUAUCGCAUAGGCCUCCGCUGUGAAAAUGCUCGUGUUGGGGUGGAGAACACCAGCAUCUGAGAAGGAUGGACCGACUGCGGCGUACGACACACCUUCGUCAGAUUUUGAAGCGUCAGUAAAAAAUGCAGGGCCGGGCAAGCUCUGGAAUAUGCGGGGUGACUGCCAUCGCAAUUUGCACAGUGG
rnacentral:lncRNA from 1 species